AAGUCGUAACAAGGUUUCCGUAGGUGAACCUGCGGAAGGAUCAUUAACACGUAUCCAACGUUAAACAACUCUGUGAACCUUCACCCCUGCUCUCCUUGUAUUUCGGUACUUGGAUUUGAUGCGGUCGAAGCAAUUAGACUUGCCUCUGUGGGGUACAGUGGGUGAAAGUGCCACUGGUUACUUAAGCGGAGUACUGCACCCGGACUAACCGGGGUGGGAUCAUCGAGUGUCCUCACGGCCGAUGAACAAGUCUCUGAGCGCAAGCUCCAAUAUUAACCCCGUCUUUAAUCUUUAGGGAGCUGGUCGCUUCGGCGCCGCCCCUGUCGUGUGAAAGCUGAACAACUGUUAACAAUGGAUAUCUUGGUUCUC
rnacentral:misc_RNA from 1 species